GACGAACGCUGGCGGCGUGCUUAACACAUGCAAGUCGAGCGGUAAGGCCCUUUCGGGGUACGACGAGCGGCGAACGGGUAGGAGUAACAACGUGGGUGGACCUCGCCCUCCAGCUCUGGGAGUAAGACCGUCGGGAAACCGGGGUACCGUAAUAACCGGAGUAUGACUCCAUGACGCAUGUUGUGGGGUGGAAAGACCUU
rnacentral:rRNA from 1 species